AUUGUAUGUUUAAGAGGUGUAGGAAGGUAGGUAAAGAGGGAGUCAGCUCCUCAGAAUGAUAAUUAACCACUUUUUAGCCUUAUUUUCCUCCCAUGCUCUCCAUUUUUAUGUCUACCUCUUCUGCAGGGAAAUGCCAAGUCUUGGCAAAGAUGUGGAAAUGUGGGAAUUCACAUAUACUGUUGGACAUUGAAACUACUUUUGAAAAUAAUUUAGCAUAUUCUAGUUAUUGGAGUGUGUUUAUUUCCUAUAACCAAGGAAUUCUACACAUAGGCAUGCACUUUGGGGAAGCUGUUACAUAUAACCUCAGAAGAAAUGUAAAGGAAUAUUCAUGGAAAGAACCACUGCUUGUUAUAGCAAAACUCUUGAAAUGAUACAAAUGUCCAUUAAAUGAAGAAUAAGUAAAUCAACUUUGGCACCUUAAUAAAAUAGGAUAAGAAGUAGAAAUGUGAGUGUCCAAAUACA
rnacentral:lncRNA from 1 species